rnacentral:rRNA from 2 species
UGCAAGUCGAGCGGAUGACGGGAGCUUGCUCCUUGAUUCAGCGGCGGACGGGUGAGUAAUGCCUAGGAAUCUGCCUGGUAGUGGGGGACAACGUUUCGAAAGGAACGCUAAUACCGCAUACGUCCUACGGGAGAAAGCAGGGGACCUUCGGGCCUUGCGCUAUCAGAUGAGCCUAGGUCGGAUUAGCUAGUUGGUGGGGUAAUGGCUCACCAAGGCGACGAUCCGUAACUGGUCUGAGAGGAUGAUCAGUCACACUGGAACUGAGACACGGUCCAGACUCCUACGGGAGGCAGCAGUGGGGAAUAUUGGACAAUGGGCGAAAGCCUGAUCCAGCCAUGCCGCGUGUGUGAAGAAGGUCUUCGGAUUGUAAAGCACUUUAAGUUGGGAGGAAGGGCAGUAAGCUAAUACCUUGCUGUUUUGACGUUACCGACAGAAUAAGCACCGGCUAACUCUGUGCCAGCAGCCGCGGUAAUACAGAGGGUGCAAGCGUUAAUCGGAAUUACUGGGCGUAAAGCGCGCGUAGGUGGUUCGUUAAGUUGGAUGUGAAAGCCCCGGGCUCAACCUGGGAACUGCAUCCAAAACUGGCGAGCUAGAGUACGGUAGAGGGUGGUGGAAUUUCCUGUGUAGCGGUGAAAUGCGUAGAUAUAGGAAGGAACACCAGUGGCGAAGGCGACCACCUGGACUGAUACUGACACUGAGGUGCGAAAGCGUGGGGAGCAUACAGGAUUAGAUACCCUGGUAGUCCACUCCGUAAACGAUGUCAA